AUAUUUAUUAGAAGUUUAAAAAUUACAGAAAAAAGAAGAAAAGAAAACAACAAACAAUUUGACAAGACAUACAUUACAAUACAUAAAAGAAAAAGCAUAAAAAACAAUACAACAAUACAGCAAAAAAAAAACACCAAUAACAUUAAAACACACAUCCAAUAUUCCAUAUCUUUAUCUUUCAUUUACUUGUUUCAUCGACCUCCUCACACCUCCCUUUUUGUAUUCUAAUUUAAUUAAUUGUUUCAGCAAAUUCUUUCCAUCUUUCUCAAUUUUUGUUAUAUAAUUUAUCUUAACGGUCUAACCUAUUAAUUAACUCAGCAAAUCCUUUCCAUCGUUCACUGUAUUCUGUCAUUCAAUUUACCUUAAUUUAUUUUAACCUUAUCUUACCAUAAAAAAUACCUUAAAACUUAAAACUUAAUACAUAUUUGUACAUCACUCCUUAUAUCAUUUCUACUAAAGCCAAAUAGUUUCAUUCCAACAUUUUUCCUAAUACUCGUUAAUUUUACACUAAUUC